rnacentral:rRNA from 1 species
AUGCCCCCAAAUUGUUUAGCAUUCAGCAAAACGCCUUCAUUAAAGGGAGGAACAUUAUGGAUGGGAUUUUAUCCUUGCAUGAAGUCAUGCAUUAUACCCAUGUUAAAAAAAGGACGGGUAUUGUUCUUAAGCUCGACUUCGAAAAAGCUUACGACAAAGUCAAUUGGGACUUCCUUCUUGAUUGUCAUAGCAAAAGAGGGUUUAGCCCUAAGUGGUGUGGGUGGGUAUCUCAGAUUCUUCGAGAUGACACGGUUAGUGUCAAGAUUAAUGAUGAACUUGGGCCCUAUAUUAAAAGCGCCAAAGGGGUGCGUCAGGGUGACCCUCAUUCCCCUUUCCUGUUCAAUAUAG